rnacentral:rRNA from 1 species
GAUGAACGCUGGCGGCGUGCCUAAUACAUGCAAGUCGAGCGAACAGACGAGGAGCUUGCUCCUUUGACGUUAGCGGCGGACGGGUGAGUAACACGUGGGUAACCCACCUAUAAGACUGGGAUAACUUCGGGAAACCGGAGCUAAUACCGGAUAAUAUCUCGAACCGCAUGGUUCGAUAGUGAAAGAUGGCUUUGCUAGCAGGUAUAGAUGGACCUGCGCCUUAUUAGCUAGUUGGUAGGUUAACGGCUUACCAAGGGAACGAUUGGUAGCCGACAGGAGAGCUUGACCGCGCACAUGGGGACUGAGAUACGGACCAGACUGCUACGGGAGGCAGUAGGGGGGAAUAUUGCACAACGGGCGGACGUCUGAGGCAGCAACCCCGCGUGCGUGAAGACGGCCUUUGGGGGGUAAACAGCUGUCGCAGGUGACGAAGCGGGAGUGACGGUAAUGGGUAAAGAAGCAACGGCUAACUACGUG